CCUACGGGCGGCAGCAGUGGGGAAUAUUGGGCAAUGGCGGAAACUCUGACCCAGCAACGCCGCGUGAAUGAUGAAGGUCUUCGGAUUGUAAAGUUCUUUUCUAAGGGGAGAAGCAAGUGACGGUACCUUAGGAAUAAGCCUCGGCUAACUACGUGCCAGCAGCCGCGGUAAUACGUAGGAGGCAAGCGUUAUCCGGAAUGACUGGGCGUAAAGGGUGCGUAGGUGGUUUGAGAAGUUGGUAGCGUAACUCGGGGGCGCAACCUCGUCACUACUACCAAAACUGUCGGACUUGAGUGCAGGAGGGGCAACUGGAAUGCCUGGUGUAGCGGUGGAAUGCGUAGAUAUUAGGAGGAACACCAGUGGCGAAGGCGAGUUGCUGGACUGUAACUGACACUGAUGCACGAAAGCGUGGGGAGCAAACAGGAUUAGAUACCCGUGUAGUC
rnacentral:rRNA from 1 species